rnacentral:rRNA from 1 species
UACAGAGGGGGCAAGCGUUGUUCGGAAUUACUGGGCGUAAAGGGCGCGUAGGCGGCCUGCUAAGUCGAACGUGAAAUCCCUGGGCUCAACCCAGGAACUGCGUCCGAUACUGGUUGGCUUGAAUCCGGGAGAGGGAUGUGGAAUUCCAGGUGUAGCGGUGAAAUGCGUAGAUAUCUGGAGGAACACCGGUGGCGAAGGCGACAUCCUGGACCAACACUGACGCUGAUGAGCGAAAGCCAGGGGAGCAAACGGG